UACUAAAGUUGUUGCAGUUAAAAAGCUCGUAGUUGAAUUUCUGGUCUCGGACAUCGGUCUGCCUCGAACGAGGUACGUACCAGUUGUCUGAAUCCAUCCUCGGGGAAAACGUAUCUGUCAUUCAGUUGAUGGGUACGGGAUCCUCGUCAUUUACUGUGAGCAAAAUAGAGUGUUCAAAGCAGGCUUAUGCCGUUGAAUACAUUAGCAUGGAAUAAUAAGAUAAGACC
rnacentral:rRNA from 13 species